rnacentral:rRNA from 1 species
GACGAACGCUGGCGGCGUGCCUAAUACAUGCAAGUUGAGCGAUGAAGAUUGGUGCUUGCUCCAUUUUGAAGAGCAGCGAACGGGUUAGUAACGCGUGGUUAAUCUUCCUUUGAGCGUGGGACAACAUCUUUAAACGACUGCUAUUACCGCAUAACAACUUUAACCAUAAGUUUUAAGUUUGAAAGAUGCAAUUGCAUCACUCAACGCUGAUCCCGCGUUGUAUUAGUUAGUUGGUGAGGUAACGGCGCACCAAGGCUAUGAUACAUAGCCGAACUGAUAGGGUGGUAGGCCAUUGUGGGAGUGAGACACGGACCAAACUCCUAGGGAAGGGAGCAGUAGGGAAUCUUAGGCAAUGGAAGUAAGACGGGCCAAGCAAAGCCGAGUGGGGGAAGAAGGUUAUCGGAACGUGAAACUCUGUUGGAAGGGAAGAACGAUAGUGAGAGUGGAAAGCUCAUAAAGUGAAGGUAACUACCCAGAAAGAGACGGAUAACUACGUG